rnacentral:lncRNA from 1 species
UGUGGCAACCUAUGAUUCAUCUUUCAACAAAUGAAAUAUAUGUUGGGCAACUGAAUAAGACUAUAUUUGUAAAAUCAUAUCCAUAAAAUGAUCACAAAAAGAAAAACAAAAAUAAAAAAAAUGACUUUUCACUGAAUGUUUACAAUACAUAUACAUAUACAUUUCCUCAAAAUUAAGAUUUUUUGUGUUUGUUAAUUUUGUCUCAAAAAUAAUAAAUACUAGAUUUCAUUACAUCAUUAUUUAAUUUUCACAUCUAUUGAAUGAUUCACUGUUCAUAAUCAAACAGAAAAACUUACUAUUAUUCAAAAAUUGUAAAAUCUUUCAAAAAAAUAACUUACUCAUUUUAAGUCUAACACAAUUUUAAUUCAGAAAGAGGACAGAGUCACGAGUGAGAUGAGGAUAAAUAUAAUGACGAUAGUCGGAGAGGAAGAUAAUGGAGAUAAUCAAAGGAAGAAGAAGAACAAAAGAAAGAACGUUCGGAGAGGAGAGAUGAAAUAAUUUUUUUUAAAUGGUUCUGAUUGAAUUAUAAAAUUGUUUUUUUGUAUUUUAUAAAAGAAUAGAAAGUUUUGAAAAUGUUAAUUGGGUCUCAAAUUUACUUAAUUACAUUUUUCAAAAAAAAUUGACCAUCUUUUGGCCAAUGUGUCGCUAAACACCAAAACGAACUUAAUUGACAUAUUUCUUUUAAUUAUCCCUAUAAAUGAAGUGGUCUUCAAUAGAAGUUUCCAUUCUAGAUGCAGUUGAUAUAACUUUGAUUGGGUAUAAGAGAGGAUUUCGAAGAGAGCAUGUUGAAGAAAAAAAGUGUAUGUUGUAACAUCUCACCUACGAUUCAUAUGUGGCAACAAAAAUUCAUUUAUGGCAACAAUAGGUACAUUUGUGUCAACAUAUGAUUCAUCUAUGGUAACAUAAGAUUUAUAUGUGGUAAUAGAAAUUUAAUGUGUGGUAACAGUAGAUACAUAUGUGGUAACUUAAUGUUAAUUUGUGGAAACAUAUUAUUAUUUUAUAAUGAAUUGUAAACUCUCAAUCUUUUUUUAUUUACCUUGUAGAUGAAACAAUACAAGAAGCUUCAUACAUGACAACAACUCAAUCUUUUAUUGGUCUUGCUUCCUAUUAUAACAUCAAAUGAUCUUUUUGUCUAUACAAAGAAUGUGAGCAACAACAUUAUCACUUUAUUAGUCGUCUUAAAAAGUUCACUGAUAUUUUUAAGGAAAUGUCUCAUAAUAUUGAUUCCAAAUACCCAAGAAGAUUUCACAACCUUUAAAGUGUAGGAAGUUGAAAAAAUCUAUUUCCCAAACACUUUCUAUAAUUAGUGAGAAGAAAGAGAAUGAGAAGAAGGCAAAGGAGGAGAAGGAGAAGACGGAAAAUGAGGAGAAGGAGAAGGAGUUGAAGCAAAAGGAUAAGGAUAAGAAGAAGGAGAAGCAAAAAUAGAAGGAGGAGAAGGAGAAAGAUAAAGAAAAAGCGAAAGGGAAAAAGAAAGAGAAGAAAAUUGAAGUCCUCUAUUUUGAUGUGAAGCAACAAUAUCCAUUCGAAAGUUUUAACAUUGACGGCGAGGGUCCAACUAAAAUAAAUUCACCCUUCUCGCGAUGGAUAAGCGAGGUUCUUUACAAGCAUCAUGCAAAAAAGUAAGGUCGUUCAACUAUUAUUAGUAUUUUUUCUUGUUGUCCACUUAAUUAUUAUUUAAAAUGAUAACACAAUUGUACAAGAGACAAGGAAGAUCAUUAUUUAGCAAGUUGCUCGAAACUUGAUUUUCACCAAUUUGAUUUUGUAGUUGCAUUUUCAAAGAAUAAGGAUUGGUUCUAUGUAACGUCUCAACUCAAUAAGUGAUGGACUGAUGAGGAAAAUCCAUGCCCACUUUUAUAUUUUGAUUAAUACAUGAAUAUAUACAAAUAAAUUGAUAAAGAGAUACACUUGUUUGAUGUAUUUGUGUAGUAUGUGGAUGUCAUUUUUUACUAUUUUCAUAAGUAGUUUAAGAAAUAGAUUCAUCAAAAUAUUGAUAUACCGCUACUAGUUACUUUCCAAAACAUACAUUGACAAUGCUAGUGUUGUUCCUGAUAUGAGGAUGAUAAAAUUGUUGGCACUAUGAAAGGGUUUGGUAUAGCUUGUGGACUGCCUUGGCACUUGACAGAAGAUGUUUAUGUCCCUAUAAAUAGUAAUGGGGACUUCCAUUGGGUCUUGGCAGUUGUUGCAUUGAAGGAACGGUGCAAAAAGUAUGUGAUUCGAUGUCCUCAUCUAGGUUUAAUAGAAAAUUGUCCUCCGUGUUUCAAAAGUUGUCUACAAUAUUUCUAAACUACAUUGAUUUAAGUGAAUUUUUUGAACAAAAAGAGCAAAACAACUGGUCAGUUCUUGAAUGUUAUCAAGGCGAGAACAAAUCUCACUCAUUAGAAGUCAGACAUUAUUACUGGUAUCGCCCAACAAUAAAGAAGUAGUUUGUAAGUAUCACAUUAUGUUUUUGUCUUAUGACUAUCAAAAUGUGACGUUAUUAUAUUUUCUAAUUUAUGAUAUACCAAGCAAAGAUUUUGGACUUUUAUUGCUUCAUACGCUGAGUUUUUGAGUGAUGGACUAUAAGUACCAUCUUAUAGACUUAGUUUUUAAACUCUUCGCAUUAGAUAUGCUUCACUCCUAUUAAAUUAUGGAAUUUAAAAAGUCUAAAAAUGGCUAUGUUUGUAACAAGGAAGACCCACAGAGGCCUAGAUCUAAAAAAGCAACGAUUGAUUAUAUGUUGUGCUUUACCCCAUUGAUUAGAUAAGUCGUUAUGUAUAUCAUUGUAAAUUACCUUUUUGUUAAUAAGUUGUAUAAAAAAAUUGGGUAAGUGUUAAAUUUUGCUGAUAAUAUUAAUAUAAAUGAUUUUCUUUUUAUGAUUAUUUUGAUUUUUUUAGAACAAAUUUCAAUUAUGAUGAGAAGGAAGAAAUGUGGUGUCUGUAGCAACAUCUAUAACUUCUGUUGUAAAAUACAUCACAUAAUUAUGUACAUGUGUACCAACAGAAAUGAUAUAUGUGGCAACAUAUUUCACAAAAAAGAGAUAUGUGGUAAGAUAUGUCACAGAAAGGAUAUAUGUGGCAACAUUAUACUAUACAACAUACAUUACAGAAAGGUGGUAUGUGCCACAACAGAAUGUAUAUAUGUGGCGGCAUAUGUUACACUUUGAAUUGUCAAAUUUCAAAAAAAAAACGGCUUUAAUAUAAUUUUCAUUUGAGUUUCCUCUCUCCUCUCUCCUCUCUCCUCUCUCCUCUCUUUUAUAAAAGUCGUUUCAUAUUCCAAAUUUUAUUUCUUUUGGUAAUAUUAGUUUUCUUUUUUAUUGUUUCCUUUUUUCUUCUACUCUCGUUCCAUUAUUCCUUCCUUCACAUAUCAUUGUCAGUAGAAAUCUAUUGUGAUCCUCUUCUACAACAAGGUAUCAUUGUCCUCAUAAUUUCUAGUUUAUCAUUGAUAUCUUCUCAGUUAUAUUUAAUUAGGGUUUGAAAAGCUUACUUGUUUGCCCUGUUUUUAGUGGUUUUAUCCCUUUUUUGGUUGGGUAGAUUUUCUUUUUUGUAAUGUUCUCUGAUUUCAAAAAAAAAGCUUCAUUUGUAGUUCGUUGGAUAUGGUUUAGGGAGGGUUUUGUUGUUUGUUUGUUGGUUCAUAUGUGGAAUAUAAUUGUAUUUGUUGUUUGUGUUGUUGUAUAUUUUGUUUUGUAUUUCAAAAAGCUAAAUUUCAUUUGUAGGUCAUGUGUGACAUUCAUAUAUAUUUUUUUGUGGUUGUAUGGACAAAUAUAAUGGCUCUUGUCAAAAUAAAAAUUGAUACAACUGACACAACAAAGAUCCUGAAGAAGGCUAGGACUAAAGUUCCUAGGAAGAAGAAUGAAAAUACCACUCUUUUAGAAGAAGUUGCAUCCGAAACAGUUUCUUCUUCUCAAGUAAAAGCAAAAUUUUCUCAAAGAUAAUAUGAAGAAAGAUAAAAAGAAACAAAUGAAUUGUUGAUGAUGGAUAAAGAACAGAAAAAGUUGAGAAGGAAGAAAAAGAAGAAAGUAGAGAAGUAGUUGAGGACGAAGAGGGAAAACAAACAAAUGUUGAGGAAGAACAAGGAAAAAAUAUAGUAGUUGAGAAAGAAGGAGGAAAAUAAGAAAGUAGUUGUGCAUGAAAAAGAAAAACAAAUAAAUUAAGUUGAGGAUGAUGAUAGGAUUAAAAUUAUCACUGGAGACACUUUCCCUGUGCAUCUGCAGCCUAAUGCUAAUGGUGAUAGAAUUAUUAGGUUAGUCAUGGAAAAACCUUUCAACAACUUCAUGGCUAUCCUCGAGAGAAAUCAUUUGGAAGUUUUUUUAUAAAUAGUUUUUUUGGUCAUUUUCUUGAUUUACUCGACGAUACAACUCCAAGUUAUCAAAUGACCAUGGUUUAUGAACUUCUGAAAAGAAAGUUUAUUUCUCAAAAUCCCAAAAUGAAGGAUGAGAUUUUGAUGCAUGCCAAUCUUCUUUGGCAGAAGAGAGUUUGACAUAGUUACAGGGUAAAAAUGUCAUCCUCCUCUUCAUCUAGUCCCUGAAUACAUUGUCAAACAAGAAACACGGAAAAGAAAUAAAGGAAUAAAAGAAGAAGCAAGACAACAGUCACUGUCAACUGAGGAGCAGGACUUGAUGUCUCUUGUUGGCAAAAGCUUCAAAAGUUUUGACUUAAUAUAUUUGUUGGAACACAAGGAUACACCAAGGAAUCACAAGGAGUCAUUGUACUUGUUUUGGUUUACUCAUAAUAUACUUUUGGUGAAAGAUCUUAACAAAACAGUAUGCUUAAAUGGGUGAACUUCUACCAUGAUAUUUAGGCUUCCAACAAUUAUCCUUGGGGUCAUGAGAGCUUUAAAUUAACUCUCAAAUACUUGUUGAAACCUUUAGGAGAAAAGACCAGUAACUUGAUUGGCUUUCCAUAGACUCUCAUGGCAAAGCUAAAUGUUCUUAAUACUUUUACAUUUAUAUUGAAUAAUUCAGCAUUUGAUUUGUGACAAGUUUUACCUUUUUAUAGGCUUAGUCAUUUGAAGUCAUUCCUCAUUUGACCCAUCAAGUAAUUGCAUAAGAACAGAUCUCAUCUCCAAGGAUAUUGAGAUGGUUGAAAUCAAAAACAAAAUCUACCAAAGAUGGGCAUGUUUCAGAUCUUUUUAACUCUCCUCUUGAUGUUGUAAGUUAUUCGUAUUUUACACUCUUAUGAUGCUACAUAUGUCAUGACCCGAGAGUAUACCCUGGAAUAAAUAGUAUUCUGAAAUUGUGGCACAAUGUACCUAACCUCUCGGAGAUCUUGUACAAGGCCUUUGACAUCGUUCAUUGCAUAAAUGUAUGAAAAGUAGUGCAGAAUUAAAACUUUUCACACAAUCAAAUAAUACUUUGAAAUCUCCUAUAUAAAAAAUCGUAGGAAAGCCUUAGUCUCAAAGUCGUCAUCUUAAACACACGAAUAUCUUGGGUCACGGCCCAUACCUCAACAAAUAGAAAUAUCUAUAUCUAUUACAAUGUCUUUAACAAAGUAAACUAAACAUAGUUAUGUUCUCGAAUCAAUUGAGGACAUGCCUCAACUUUUAUUGAAUGAAUACUAAUGUCCACGCUUGACUUCAAUGACUCCUCUCAAAUUCCAUCUACACCUUUAAGGAUAGACAAAAUAUAUGGAGUUAGUACAUUAGAAUGCACUAAGUAUGGUGACAUGCAAUUAAAACCAUGCUAAAAGGACAUUUAUAUUAAACAUUCUCUUUUUUAAGAAAAUUUCAUAAGACAAGUAAAAGAGUCACUUAUAGGUCAACACCAGCACAUGUAUUAGUCACAUUCCACAUAUAGCAUCAAGAUAACUUCAAAACACAUAAAAAUGAGACCCUCCUACCAAAGGUUAUUUGUCACAUCCGGGGAGCACCCCCUAGAUAUAACCGGCAUCGUCGUCCUCUCUGAAGACUAAGACUAACCUCUUAGUUUACAUCAUUACAUUCAUAGGUCAAAAACACGGAAUAAUUUAAAAAAGAAUUCAAUACUUCUACAUUAAGGUUUACAUAGACCUCUACACACACACAAACAUACACACACAAAUAUAUAUAUAUAUAUAUAUAUAUAUAUAUAUAUAUCGAGUAUACAUAGACCCUUCAUAUAGGAAAAUUACAUAGCCUUUUACUUGUAUUGCACAUAGAUGUAUAAAAUAUCACAUAGUCUCAAAUGGAUGUCUCAUCUCAUAACCAUCUAACAAGAUUAUAUCAAAUUGGGCCUAGACCAUACAUCAAUGAAAUAGAGCCAGAUAUUGGCUUUAUAAUGUAUAGUAUCCAAAUGAAAAGAAAAGAACAUAAGAGUGUUAAAACUAAAACAACUUAAUAAGCUUGAUAGUGGCAUUGCCCUCAGAAAGUGAGGACCUACCCAAAUUGGAUUAUUGUGAAUUCCAAGUCUUCUUCAAAGUCGUCUCAAAGCCCUUCAACGAUCGGAACCUAAAAUAUGUGCGGAAAAGGGAUAAAAUGGGGUUAGUACACCAUAUGUAUUAAGUAUGAGACCAUAUGACAACAUAUUAUGAAAUUAUUCUAAAAAGGGGAAAUUUCAUGAAAACAUGUUUCUUUAACCUUUAAAAGUCUUAUGCACAUUCAAGAAGAACACACCAAUCAAUAAGACAUAUUUAUUAAGUAUAAAGCAUGUACAUCACAAGACCAACAAUACCAUAUCUAGUCAAGUCAACAUGCAUACCAUAUAAUUGGACAUAUAUAUGAAACAACUCUAUCAUCAAGUUAUAAUAACCACAAGCAUGAAUAAGAGUUGAUUAUAACAUAAACACAGUGAGACAAUUACCCAUGAACCCUUAUCUAGUCAACAAGUGCAACGACCAAGCAAGCCCCAUAACCUUAAUCAAGUAACCCAACAAGAAUCAUGACCAAUAUCCAACUUCAAAUAGCAUAUCAUUAAGAACACAUAUCAUCAUACUUUAACAAUGAAAAACAAUACAUAUUCAUCAGUGAAACUAAUUACCAUAUAGUGUCAACAAUAUGCAAGAUCAUUAUAUACAUAUCAUAUACCAUUAUACGCAUAUUCACAUAUAAUAACAUCCUCCUAAGACUUCCCUCAAGACUAACUAGUGCAAUGUUUCAGUAGAGUUACAUACCCCUACCUAGACUAAGCUAAACCCCAUAGGUUAUCCUAUUUAGAGUUCAUUCUAUUAGUUCAUUUUACUUUUUGGGAACAUCUUGCCUUAACCUACAUAGACCACAUGAGCUAAUUUGAAAUCUGGUGUCAUGGAACCCUACACUGAAGGAAGGAGAUCUACUUGCUAAGGUAGUACCAAAACAAGAACAUAGCAACUACGUGGAUCCACUAGCUAAUAUUACAAUGGGGGCAACAUAGUUCAUGAACUAGGAGAUAUAGUUGAUUCCUCUUUGUGCUACAUAAAAAAUAUGGUCUACAAACAUAAUAGCACAUUAGUCAUCCUACCUUCCCUAUGUGUGAAGGGACACUCUUCACUUUAGUUCACUUGGUGCUAAGCUAAAGUCCCUUUUGAAAUGUCUUUAUAAUUCAUCAUUGCUUAAUGUAGGUCAUAGGGUGUAUUCCUUGUAUAAGCAUCAUCAUCAUAACUCAAAAAAUAAUUGCAUGAGUAUAGUCCAUUCAUUACAAUUCAUAUAUUUUAGGUUAGCACAUUUACAUAUCACUUCAUAAUAAGGCACAUUGGUAAGUUAUCACCAUCCUUAAAUGAUUUACAUCUUAGACAACACCUCACAAACCAUAGUCAAGAGAUUUAAAUAUAACAUCAUACCAACCCUAUCAAUCCUAAUACAAGAUAUACUUCAAUGCAAUAUCAUCACUUAAUCACAAUUUACCAUAAUUGAAGUAAAGAAUAGGGAUCACAAUACUGACCAAGUCUCCUUCAUAAUCCAUCAUCAAGGUCUUACCAUCAACCCUUAUCUCAACUAAAUAAGGGUAUAAUAUCAUCUCUCAACAAUAAUCAAUCAUGAUAACAAGGCCAAUUGAACUACUACAACACAACUCAUCACUAGUUCAUAGCUUAAGAUAAGAGAUUUGGUUAAGGUCACAAUUUAGAUCAAUUACUCAAGAACUAGCAUCAUAGGAAUAUAAUUUUCCCUAAUCUAUCCAUAAUUUAUACAAUAACAUCAUCUUACAGUAAUUCAACCAAUAACCAAUUCAAUUGAACCAACAUUACACAAUUCAUAUAAAGAACAUAACCUAGUGUUAAGGGAAAUAGGUCAUAUUCUACAAACUAGACCAAUCCGUAAAGAGAUAGCAUAAUUAAGUUAAAAUACAUGUUAAUCUAUUCAUAAUAUCCAAAAGAAAUCACAAACAAACAAUUCACAAGAUCAAUUUCGAGAUUGGAAAAGACCCACAAGAAAACUCAACUUUUUUAAUCAAUUUGAUAGAACCCUUUGAGCAAAGAGGUCUCAAAGGUGAAAGGAAUCCCAUUUGAAUUUGACCUCCUAUGGUGUUCUUCAACUUGAGAUAGAAACAAGAGAGAAGGAAGAGAAUUUAGGUAUGUGAAUUAUGAAGCUUAGGUUAGUCUAACUAGCUUAGGGUCUUUAUAUAGGUCAUUAACUAACUUAAUUAGAUCUCCCCUAACACCUAAUUAAACUCAUAACUAAGACAAAUAAUUAAAUUAAUUUAAUCAAAACAUGCAGCAAAACACAGACCUCACAGACAGAACCCCAACCCACGCCCCGUUUGUCAGUCGAUGGACCAAUGACUAACCGUCCUGUUGGCCCAUCGUUAAGUUCAGAGACUAUGCAAAACAGGCCUUUCAUGGAUUUGGCUAAGUUUUAAUCGACGGUGGCCAUUGACGCCCCAUCGAUUGACAGACGCUUUAUCGUUUGCACUUGUUUGUGCACAUUGCCUUUUGGCAGCUUCUCGCCAAAAUGAAAGGGUCCUCCUUAUGGGCCCUUGGUUGGUCCUUGGGGGGGUUGUGCCCAGAGGUUUUGACUAUGAACUAACUCUAAUUUAUGUUAUACACUCUUCAACCAAUUUUUGUCAUUUUUCUGCUCCUUAAAGCGAGUAAAAAAAGUUAAAGCACACUAGCACCUCAUUGAACUAGUUUCUGGACGUCGUGGGCGUUCUUGGAUGUUUUGAUUUCUAAACUUUCUUAAUGACUUAUAUUUAUUAAAAUAAACCUUCAAAUAGUGUCUAAUCCUCUUGACACUUAUGUUAGUCUCUAGAACACGUCUUAGACUUUUGAAGUGUUUCAUAAUCCCCCCCUUAGUAAUAUCUGUCCCCAAAUGACACUAAAAUCCUUUGAAAUGAAAAAAUAUACUAAAGACUAGCAGCCCAACAAACAAUAAUGCAUACCAAAUGAGUUACAACAUCAAUCAUAUCAUUUACACAAGGCAAUUCAAAAUCUUCAAUUACCACUUAUAAGGAUCAAAAUCACAUCAUGAGGAAUUUCCUUGUCACACAAUAACAUGAGCUCAACAUACCAUAUAUGAGUCAAUUAUGCAAAAACUCAACUUUCCAACAUGAUCAAUAUCAUUUCAUAAAGACUCACCAUAUCAAAAUUCAAAACAUAACUCAAAACAAUCCAAAGAGAAAAAUUGACAAUUUCAAAGUUAAAUAGGCAUAUUUGACUAUAAUGACAUCAAAGAUGCACAUUUUUGCAAAACUUCACUAAAAAUCAAAGAAAUUUUAAUCUUAGUUAUUAUUUUCACUAUCAAGAAGAAUAACUAACCUUAUUUAUAAAAUAUAUGAGGGUAAGGGUAAUUCUUGUCGCCCUCGGCCUCCCAUGUUGCACCCUUAACUAGGUGGUUCUUCCAUAACACCUUUACGGAAGCCACCUCUUUGUUCCUCAACGUCUUUACUUGCAUAUCAAGGAUUUGAACCGAAACCUCCUCAUAAGAGAGGUUAUCCUUCACACUAAGACCCUCAAUAUGAAGAGUAGACUCGAGAUCAUCGAUAAACUUCUUAAGCAUAAAAACAUAGAAAACCAGAUGAACCGAAGCUAAUUCAAUAGGGAGUUUCAACUCAUAGGAAACCUUACCAACCCUUCGCAAGAUUUUAUAGGGACCCACAUAUAGAGGACUCAACUUCCCUUUCUUGCCAAAUCUAACCACCCUUUUCAUAGGCAAAAUUUUCAAGUACACCUUAUCACCUUCUUCAAACUCUAUAUCCCUUCUUCUAUGAUCGGCAUAAGACUUUUGUCGACUAUAGGCCGUUUGCAACCGGUUCCUUAUGAUAUGAACCUUCUCCAAAGUCUUAUAAAAAAUUGAAGAUUUACCAACUCCAAACCACCCAAUAGGAGACCUACACCUCCUACCAUACAAGGCUUGAUAAGGAGCCAUGGAUAUGGAUGAAUGGAAACUAUUAUUAUAAGCAAACUCCACCAAAGGCAUAUGAUUAUCCCAAUUUCCCUAAAAAUCCAUGAUACAAUCCCUAAAAAUAUCCUCAAGGGUUUGAAUAGUAAGCGCUUUUUGACCAUCCCUUUGGGGAUAAAAAGCGGUGCUUAACUUCCUGUUGGUACCCAACCCUUCUUGGAAUAACCUCUAAAACCUAGAUGUGAAUUCCCCGAUCUGAUGUGAUGGAUAACAGAAUAUCAUGGCGACACACAAUCUCAUAUAUGAAUAUCCUUGCAUAAUCCUCUACCGAAUAGGUAGACUUAACGAGAAUAAAAUAAGCGGAUUUUGUUAACCUAUCCACAACCACCCAUAUAGAGUCAUAUUGCUUUUAUGUAUAAGGAAAACCUACCACAAAAUCCAUAUUGAUGUAUUUCCAUUUCCAAGUAGUAACUUUGAUUUCUUGAAGUAAACCACCUGGCUUUUGAUGUUCAGCUUUAAUUGUUUGGCAAUUUGGAAACUUAGCAACAAAUUUCUCUAAGUCCUUUUCAAACCUUCCCACUAAAACUCUUCCCUAAGAUUAAGGUACAUCUAUUUCAAACCUGGAUGAAUGGAAUAACGGGACCCAUGAGUUUCCUCAAGGAUCCGGUUCCUCAAACAAUCUACAUUGGGAACACACAACAUUCCUUGAUAUCUCAAAACACAAUUCCCCAAGGAGAAUGACUCAUUAAGCUUUAUAAGAACCAAUAACUCCAUCAAUGGUUGAUCAAGGUGUUGUUUGGAAUUAACCUCAACCACCAAAGAUGACUUGGAGUUAUGAUGGACCAUAAAACCACCAUUCGGAGAAUCUUCCAACCUAACACCAAACCUAUCCAACCUAUGAACAUCUUUCACUAGGUAUUUGUUGGCUUCCUCUAUAUGAUACACAGUACCCAUGGUCAUACAACUUAGAGCAUCCGCAACCAUAUUGGCUUUGCUAGGGUGAUAGAUAACACUCAUCUCAUAAUCUUUCACCAAUUUCAACUACCUUGUUUGUCAGAGAUUCAACUCUUUUUUAGUAAACACAUAUUGGAGACUCUUAUUGUCGGUAUUCACAUCAACAUGAACACCAUACAAGUAAUGCCUCUAUAUUUUCAAGGAAAAUACCACUGACACAAAACUCAAUAUCAUGAGUUAGAUAGUUCCUAUCAUGAACCUUAAGUUUCCUAGAAGCAUAGGCUAUCACUUUACCAAGUUUCAUAAGCACACACCCUAAACACACUAGGGAUGCAUCACAAUAUACAACAAAUCCCUUUGUACUCUCCAGUAUAGUAAACACCAGAGCGAAAGUAAGCCUAUCUUUCAAUAUUUGGAAGCUUCUCUCACAUGCCUCCAACCACUCAAAUUUGUAACUCUUUUGGGUCAAAGUUGUCAAUGGAGAUGCAUUGGAUGCAAAACCAUCCACAAACCUCCGACAAUACCCUGGUAGACCCAAGAAACUCCUUAUGUCAAUUGGAGUCAAUGGUCUAGGCCAAUUUUUUAACCUCCUCCGUUUUUCUUGUAUUAACCUCAACUCUCUCACUUGAGAUAAUAUGACCACGAAACACCACCGAGCUCAACCAAAACUCACAUUUGCUAUACUUGGCAAAUACUUGGUUCUCCUUAAGCAUUUGUAACACCACCCUCAAAUGGUCCAUCUAUUCACGCUUAUUUUUUUGAAUAUACCAAGAUGUCGUCAAUGAAGACAAUGACAAAUGAAUCUAUAUAACUUCAAAAAAACCCAUUCAUGAGAUCCAUAAAUGUCGUCGAGGCAUUAGUGAUACCAAAGGACAUUGCUAAGAACUCAUAGUGGCCAUAUCUAGUCUGAAUGUUGUUUUUGGUAUAUCCCACCUCUCAACCUAAGUUGGUGAUACCCCGAUAUCAAGUUAAUCUUAGAAAAGUAGCUUGCCCCUUGGAGUUGAUCAAACAAGUCCACAAUCUGAGGGAUAGGAUACUUGUUCUUAAUAGUGACUUUAUUGAGUUGGCAAUAAUCGAUUCACAUUCCAAGGGACCCAUCCUUAUUCUUUACAAAUAAAGUCAGAGCACCCCAUGGAGAAAUAUUAGGUCUAAUGAAGCCUUUGUCUAGUAUAUCUUUUAGUUGAGCCUUCUACUCUUUUAAUUCGGUCAGAGUCAUCCAAUAAGGAGGAAUUGAAAUGGGAUUUGUAUUUGGUAACAAGUCGAUACCAAAAUCAAUUUCCCGUUAGGGAUGAUACAGGGAAGAUCAUUAGGAAACACCUCCAGAAAUUCCGUCACUAUGGGGACCGACUCAAUGGGAGGCAUUUUGGAGUCAAAAUCUUGGACUCUUACUAUGUGGUAUAAACAUCCUUAGAGACCAUUUUACAAGCUUUUAAACAAGAUAUGAUACAAUCUCUAGGAAUAGAAUUUUCCCCCGUCCACUCUAAAAAUAGGCUCAUUUGGAAAGUAAAAUUCACCACCCUCGUUUUACAAUCUAUAGAAGCAAAGCAAGAAUGCCACCAAUCCAUACCCAAUUUGACAUCAAAAUCAAACAUAUCAAGUUCUACUAGUUCAACAUAAGUAAAUCUAUUGGGCAACAUUAUAGGGCAAUAAAUAUACACCCUUAUUGCAGCAAACGACUUACCCACCGGGGUAGACACUAUAAAAGGCUCAUUCAAGAUAUCGGGCAAAAUGUCAAACUUUUUAGCUACUAAAGGAGUAAUAAAUAAUAAGGUAGAACCGGGAUCAAGUAAGCAUAUGCAUCAAUGGAGAAUACUUUCAACAUACUGGUCACCACAUCAGGGGAAGUCUCUUGCUCAAUCCUAUAGCGGAGAGCAUAAAAGAGAUUCUUCUUCAGAGCUUCAUUAGAACCACUUGAUUUCCCACUCUCUUUGUCUUUCCCCUUCACAGAUGGUCAAUCUCAAACCUUGUGCCCACUUUUACCACAACCAAAACAAUUAUUUGUUCCCUUAAGACAAUCACCAUAAUGCUUCUUGUGACACCUUCCACAAGUUGUCUUCUUUUUUACUGAACUAGUACUCCUUCCCUUUUAAGGCUUAGGGUUAGACACCCUAUCAUACCUAGCCUUAGGGAAUCUAGAAGGAAAUUGAUUAGAAACCCUCUUCUUAAACCUAGGCUUUUCUUGAAUCACAAGCUUGCCCUUUGAAAAAACUACCAUCCAAAGAUCUUUCCCUCUUGACGUUUCUACUCUUCCUCUUAGACCUUGCAUCUUCCACUUGCUGAGCAUGAACCAUGAGACAAUAAAUGUUCAUAUUGUCAUGUAGCAUAGCCGAAUGACACUCUUCUUGCAAGUCAUCCAACAUUUCGUCACAAAGUAAUUUAUUUCAUCCCUAGGAUAGGAAACCAAAGAAAGAGCAUAUUUUGAAAUUUUAGUGAAUUUCAAGAAGUAUUCAAGCACACUCAUACCUCCUUGAAGAAGGUUGAUGAACUCCAUCACUUUAGCUUCCCACUUCUCCCAAGGAAAGAAUCUAUCAAUAAAAGCCUUUUUGAACUCCUCCCAAGUCAUGGGUCCACCUCUCAAAGGCCUAUUAUCCCUCUAUUCGACGUGCCACGCUUGGUGCACAUCUUUGAGUUGGUAAGUUGUUAACUCAUCCUUCUCACUUGUAGUCAACCCCAUAGCAUAGAUGAUCUUGUAUAUUUCAUCGAUAAACUCUUGGAGGUCUUCUUUAAUCUUGGACCUAUAGAAAUUAGGGGGAUUCAUCCUAGUAAAAUCCCUCAAAUGGGUGGCCAUGGUGCCAACAUGUUGGUUUGCUCAGGUUACAACCUCCGGAUUAGAUUGGGUUGUCAUGGCUUGAGCUUGGGUAGUGGAGUCUUGUGCUUGAGUAGUAAUGGCUUGUGCCAUUUGUAAAAGAGAACCUUUAUGUCACCAUCUGUCAAAGGGGGAGGAUUGACGGUGCUUGGUCAUCAUUAGCAUCUUUUUUAAGAUGAGGAACUUGAUUACCUCGGAGAGGAGCUCACGCAUUGGCAAUCUCUUCAUCAAGUCUUCGUGUCGCGUUCUUUAGAGUAUUCAUUGCCUAUAAUCACAUUAAAAGGGUUAUAUGAUAAAACAACGUAGAGUCAAAACUCUAGAGGCACGAUAUUGGAUUUCCAAUAAAGUGACAGUUUCCCAAGUAUAAUAUAGAUUCCUAUACAUAAGUGUGACACUCUUCACAAUUAUGAAUAUGAAUAAACAUAGAUGUGGUUGAAAGAGAUCAAUUCAUGAAUAUUCAACCUUAUGCUUUGAUACCAAGUUUGUCACAUCCGGGGAGCACCCCCUAGAUGUAACCGGUCUUGACAUACUCUUUGAUCACUAAAUCUAUCCUCUUAGCUUACAUAAUUACAUUCAUAGGUAAAAAAUACGGAAAAAUUUAAAAACUUUUCAAUACUUCUACAUUGAGGUUUACAUUAUAUGACCCCAAAAUGAGUUAGGGUGUCUAGAUAUUAACAUGUUUUUAUUAAGUUUCUAAGGUCCUAAAAUUAAUUGUAAUAUGUUUUAUAGGCAUUGUGUAAAGCUUGAGGUGAUUUAGAAGUCGAACGUCAAGGGACGACCAAAACGUUCGACGACUAGUCACCUAUGUGCCUCCUGUGUCUAUACGUGUUUAUACAUUGUAUUUCACGAGUUUAUGAAGUCUUUAAAUGAUUUAUAAUGAUUUUUAAUGAUGGUAUAUUGUUUUUUAAGAAGUUUGGAGGUCAAAUGACCAAGAACAUCCAAGGCGUUCGAAAGAUAGCCUUAAGACGCUCAAUAUGUGUCUUGAUGGGGCCUUGCCGGUUUGACUUGUUAUAUUGUAUUUACUUUGGAAAAUUUUAGGUACGUCUUCUAAAGGGCCCAAAAAAAGGGCCCACAAGAAGGACCCAAUGUUGGUUGAAACACUGUCUUGAUAGUAUCAAUUGACGGACCAAACGACGGCCAGUUGGUUGACCAGCAGCCCGUUGGUGAGGUCUCGGCAAUGGAUAAUUAGCUUGGUCAGGUCUCAACAAAAAAAAUCCAAGGAACAAUCGAUGGAAUCCAAAGGAUGGCCAUUCGAUUGACCAAUGUCCAGUCGAUGGUGGCCUGCAACACUGUCUAGCGGACUAUUUUAUUUAAGGGGUGAACGGGAAAUUCACCCAACGUCCUAACCUGACCCUAAUAGAUUUAAUUAUCUAUUUUUGGGUGUAUAUAAGGGAUAAAAAAUGAUAUCAACGUCACUCCCAAUACAAUUUACCAAAUUAGACUUUCCCUCCAAAAGUAUUCUCCCUAGAAACCUCCAUUGUUGAUGAAGUUCAUGAACAGCUUAGAUCUUGGAUUUUCAUGAUUUAUUCACAAAUUUUUAGAGAUUUUAGAGUAUAUAAAGGUAUGUUUAUCCUUUAUCUCUAGUUAUCCUUCCAUCUAGCGAGUUAAUCUCAAAAUUUUCAAAGUGAAAAAUAUGAUUAAGUUCUUCUUAUUCAAUCUAUCCAUGGGUUCUUUCUAAAAACGUUUUAAAUGGUAAUGUAUUGGUUUAAAUGUGAUUUUAGUCCAAUGGCAUGAUGAUCCCAUGUCCCUUCCCUAAAUCGAUAUAGCCCUUGCAUGGGCUUUGUGAUAUUGACUUGUUAUCGAUUGAAUUGUGAUUCUAUUACGUUGAAGUGGUUAUAUAUAUUGUUGUUUACGUGAAUUAAUCUUAAAUUUAAGAUGAAGGAUCCAAUUGAAUCAAUGUAUGAAGAUUUGAACAUGUUUAGUCUAGUUUCCAUGAUUCACUGUAAUGUUGAUCUUUUAUGAUUUAAUGUUGAAUUCGAAUGGGUGUUGAUCAUUGUAGCUACUGCCUUAAGUUGAUAUUAUGGAUGAAUUGUGGGUAUAAAUUCUUGAUGAUCAAAUUAAAGAAAUACCUACAUGAAUUGAUCUAGGUUCUUCUAGUCUAUGGAUUGAAAACUUUAUGUACAUGAUGAAAUCUAAGUUCUAGGUUUGAUGGUGCAUGACUUAAACAUGAUUUACAUGUAUUUUAACUAAUGAUCUAGAUUGGUAUUGGUAUAUUAUGGAUUUUAUCCAUGGUAAUGAGAGUAAAUCAUGUUAGUGACUGAUGUAAGACUAUACUUUCCAAUACAUAUGAGAUACCUUGUAUUAUGUUAAAAAAUGAUCUUGUAGAGAUUUCUACAUAGUUCUUCUAUGAUUAAAGUACAUAUAGAUAAUGCCCUAUAUCUAUGAAUUUUUUAUGAACAAGUUGUAUUGAUCAAUGAUGAUCAAAGGGUGAGAAAUUGGUAAGAAUAAUUAUCUCCUCUACUUUUCUAUAUUAAUGUAGUUGAUAAAUCCCUGUAUGGCAUUGUGUGGUAUGGUCCACUUAUGGUGGCGGUGUUUACUUUAUUGUCAAUCUUUAUUAUGUUUACCAUUGCCUUGAAGAAAAUUAAUAAUUAUGUGAGUGUGUGGUUAUGAUGAUUACACUAUGUGAAUCUUAUGCCUACUUUCCUAUUCUAGUUGUGAUUUAGGUUGCAUGGCUAUUGUAUAACCAUGUGUAUAUCAAUGUUAGGGUAAAGCAUAGGUGUUUCCAUUGAUGAGUUAAAAUGGUUAAUAAUCUCUUACCUAUGUACCCCUAUGUGAAUGCAUGAAUAGCACAAGUUAGGAGUCUUAAGUGUAAUAUGAAGUUGACUUGUCUCCUAUGCUAUUGUGUAUUGUGUGGUUUAUGCUUCGUAUAGUAUUAUGGUCUAAGAGGGUGGCUGCCUCAAUGUGUUGUUGAUACCCAUUAUGUGAUCAUGUUGACUAAUGUACACACACAUUCACUUUACAUGCAUGUUACAAGUAGUAUAAGUCAUGGUGUCUAAAUGAAAGGUAGUUCUCAUAUUCACUAGUGUCUAUUACUAUGCAUGCUAAGAUGAUGUCUAUGAUGUUAAGUAUAUGAUAUGAUGAAGUAUAAAUGUGAAUAGUGUCUUUGAGUGUUGAUAUGAAAUGAUUUCUCAUAUAGGUACACAUAUAGACUCAUGCAUUGAUAUGAGAACAUGUGUGACAUUAUGUGUUAUGUGAGUUUGCUCACAUAUAAAUACACAUACGCACACAAGAAUGAUGAUAUAGUUAAUAGAGGGACAUUGAAAGGUGUGCCCAAGAAUACUAUAAACUAUAUAGAAACUUAGAUAUGCUAUAAACAUAUUAGGAAUGAAUAUUCUAAGCCUAUGUUUUAUGAAUAAAUGUAAUAAAGUCUUUUCAAUAAAGGGAACUUAGCUUAGCACCGAAUAAACUUGACAUUGAGAGGUAUUGACUUCCCUUAGAGGAAGAUUCACCAUUUGUUCCCUAUAGAGUGUUGACUUCCCUUAGAGGAAUACUCACAUAUGGACCCACAUGAGGUGUUGACUUCCCUUUCAGGAAGAUUCACCCAUGUUUUCUCAUGAGAGGAGGCCCCUAUUACUAAGUGGUAUGAAGAGGGAAGACCUAUCUCUUAGUUCCAUAACUAUGUUUGCCACAUAGGAUCUAGCAAAGUGAAUUCACUUAGGAUGCUACGAUGUUUGUUAAUGUUCUACCUUGGAUAGGUAGGAGCACCUUCCAUUUGUGUAAGGCUCUACAACACCAAAUUUCAUGUUUAGAACCCAUGGUCUUAAUGUCAGUUAAGGUAUGGUUUCCCUAAGGUAAAAUGGACAAUGAAAGUAAAUGAAUAAGAUCCUAACUAGGAGAACUUAAGGGAGGUUACUUAGGAUAGGUGUAAGUAAUGAACCCAUUUAGACAUUGCACAAGUAGAUCCUUAGGAAGUCGUAGGAAGAUGACUUAAUGUGUGUUUAUGUUUAUGUACAUAUGCAUGACAUUGUCGUAUCUAUCUACUUGUCAUAAAGAUGUUCAUGAUAUGAAUAUAUAUGAUGUUAUACUAUCUUUAUAUGCAUUAUGUUGGUCUAAAUGACUAUAUGAUGAAGGUCUUGUAUUGACAUGAAUGAAGUUGCCUUCACUUACUUGUUGAUAUAUGAAUUGAAUGUUAAGGUUUGUUGUCUCAUGAAGGGUUUACUAAGUAUGUGUGGGGUUAUGGGUCUUCACAUGUGCAUUGCACUAGUAGACUAAGAUUGGGGUCAUGAACAUGUUCUUAUAAUGAUGUAUAUGAAAAGAGGUAAAAAUAUGUAUAAUUUGAAAUAGCUUACUGUAAAGAUAAAGGAGUCUCAGCAAAAAUAUGUCUUUGAUGUGCUAUACUUCUAUGGUGAUAUGUGAUGACUUAUGUAGAUUUUAUGAACAAAAUAGAAGAUAGUUCACUGUUAAGGGAAAAUUAGUUCACUGUUAAGGGAAAAUUAGUUCACUGUAAAAUCACUUGAAAAUGUCAUAAAUUCGAUAUGUGAUCUUAUAUGAUGUUUGUCCUUUGAAUAUGUUUAUCUAAACUAUAUAAAUGAUAUACAUGUUAUUGUUUAAUGGUUUUAUAAAGAUUUACUCGAAAAAGGCAUGAAGUAUGAUUUCAAGAAAAUGUCCCUUUUAAAUGCAUGUGUUUGCAUGGUUGUCAUAUUUAGUGCAAUCUUGUACCAGUCCAAUUCUUCUCUACUUUUUACAUGAAGUGUAGGGAUGCUUAAAGUAUGUCUAUGAUUGAGGACCUUGAUAUGUGAUUCUCUAGCUCAAGGAAAGGGGUUCUUAAGUUCCAAGGAUUCCCUACUCAUGUUUUUAUGUAAACAUUAUUAAAUGUUGUAUAGUUAUGUCUUAUGUUUUAAGGGUUGUGUCCCUAAUGUAUUCUAAUGUUGUUGGGUGUUAGAUGGCAAAGAGACUUAGGGUCUAAAUAUGUAUUACAACUUAUAUUAUAUUAUAUAUAUAUAUAUAUAUAUAUAUAUAUAUAUCUUAAGUUGUGUUUCUACCAUAUGAUGUGCUACGAAAAGUUUUAAAUUUUCCCCUAAAUUUACUAUGACAAUGCGAUGAAAUGAUAACUAUGAGCUUGUAUAACACCUCCGAAGGUCAAGUAUGCCAUGUUACUUCUAGGGGGUGCUCCCCGUAUGUGACAUAAAUAGACCACUACAUACACAUAAUAUAUAUCGAGUAUACAUGGACCCUUUGAAUAGGAAGAAUACAUAGUCUUCUACUUUUAUUGCACAUAGAUAUAUAAAAUAUCACAUAGUCUCAAUUGGAUGUCUCAUCUCAUAACCAUCUAACAAGAGUAUAUUAAAUUGGGCAUAGCCCAUAUAUCAAUGAAAUAGAGCCACAUAUAGGUUUUAGAACCUAUAGUAUCCAAAUGAAAAGGAAAUAACAUAAGAGUCUUAAAACUGAAACUUCAUAAGCUUGAUAGUGGCAUUGCCCUCCAAAAUUGAGGACCUACCCAACUUAGAUUAUUGAGAAUUCCAAGUCUUCAUCAAAGUCGUCUCAAAGCCCUUCAACGAUCGGAACCUAAAAUGUUUGGGGAAAAGUGAGAAAAUGGGGUUAGUAAACCACUUGUACUAAGUAUGAGACCAUACGCACACAUAUGAAACACAAAGCUCACAGACGGAACCCCGAUCGACACCCCAUUUGCCAGUUAGUCCUGUUAGUCCGUCGUUAAAUUCAAAGACUAUGCGAAAACAGGACUUUCAUGGAUUUUUCUAUCUUUUCAUCGACAGUAGACAUCGACGCCCCGUCGGUUGACACACGCUUGUCAAUUGCACUCAUCUGCACACUGGCUUUUGGCAGCUUCGUUCCAAAAUACAAGGGUCCUCAUCAAGGACCUUUGAUUGAUCCUUGGGGAGUCGUGCACAUACGUUUUAACUAUGAACUAACUCUAAUGCGUGUUAGAUACCCUUCCACCAAUUUUCAUCAUUUUUCGACUCCCAAAAGCUGGUCAAAAAGGCUAAGGCAUACUAACACCUCAUUGAACUAGUUUCCGGACAUUCUUGGACGUUUUGAUUUCUAAACUUCCUAAAUAACUUAUAUUAAUUAAAGUAUACCUUAAAACAAUGUCUAAACUUUUGAUACUUAUAUUAGGGUCUAGAAAACGUCUUAGACUUUUGAAGUGUUACAAUAUUCUAUAUCUCAUUUGAGUGAGAUAUUUAGUGACCGCCCAUACAACCCUUCAAACACACCAAAGUGACCCUACAGAUUACCUAAGAUAAAAAUUAUUCAUAUUUCAUCAAUUUAACUUCCUACAUAAAAUUUCAAUAAGAAUCACCUAAGUAAGACAUAAAGAGACCACACAUACACCUUCUCCAAGCCUACCUAAACAAUCCUUAAAGCUACUCUAAAUAAGUACCUUUUCAUUAGCGUGCAUUUAUCUUAAGUCACUAUGUUCAUUAAGACGUUUAAAAUACAUUAAACACUUAAGGACUUCACAUAAUGGUCUUGGAGAAGACCUAGGAACCUACAUACUAACAUCUUCAAAGCCUACUUGUGCAAUGUCUAGAUAGAGUCUCAUUCCAGUUGCUACACUUUGUAGAACUUAUCCAACACUAAAAUGUAUCCCACAUGAUGAGAAUAGGCAAUAACAGACAUAUACCAUAGUAGUUAGACAUCGAAUCCAGAGCCUUCCCUACUCCGAUGGAGGGUGUUCUACUUGCGUAGGGUAGAACCAGGACACAUCCCAUGUUGGCACAUGGUUAAGGAUAUCAAGGGUUUAUUUGUACUCUAGUAUCAUCUUAAUUAGAGUCACUCCCCAAGCAUACUCUCUCAGUGCUAGCCUUUGUUCUCAUAGAGUAAUUCAAUCUAAGGGCAUAUGAAGAGGUACCAUAUAGUAAUCAUAACCAAAUCAUAAUAGACCUUACCAAAAGGGGUCCACUAGGGCUACCACACAAUGGUUACUAGGAUAGCUUCAUGACUUUCGUAAGUAUGAUUUCAUGCUGUUCCAGCCAACCAACCCCCAAGUCCAUCAUUCACACAAGAAAGAUACAAUUGCAACUUUCAAUUUCAAAGAUAUCAGAACCUUCUAUCUUGGUUGAAGGUACCACAUAGAUGACCCUCUUAACUAGGUUCAAGGUCAUAUUUCAAUCGUACACAUACAUUCAUGAAAAAGGUGUUUUAGCCUACUACGUCAAGAUUCAUAUUCAUAUUUCAUGUAUUGAGUAGAGGGACAUAGGUCUACCAUAACAAGACACACACAUACUUUCUCUUAUCACAUGUACAAUCACAUUCAUGUAGCACAUAGGGACAACCAAGUAUACUACAAAUCACCCUACUCAAUCCUAUAGAAUCAUCUUCAUAGUACAUCAUAAGAUUCACAUAGUCAAUUAGGAACACUCAUACUUCAACAUCAAGGAACACACAUCAAGACAUCACCAUAGUCUACUAGACACAUAUCAUCAACUAUAAGAACACAUGCUUUGACUUCACCUAUACAUAUAAGCCAUAUAGACCUUCACAAUACUCAUUAAAGUUAUAACAUGAUAAUAUCAUAAUUCAUAAAAUAAUGUCGACAACACCACGUUUUCCACUAGUGUAGCACAUAAGCACCGACACCAUAAGUGGACCAUACAAAAACAUCACAAUUCAAAAACCUAUACUACACAAUAUAGAGAAUAUUAGGUCAACAUACCACCAUUCCAACCACAACAACUCCAAUCCAUAGCCAAUUAAACCAACACAAUGCACAAUGACUCUUACAAUAGCCAUAAUGACCAAUUAAAACCAAUAACCACAAUAAACAAUGAUCCAAUAUAAUACAAUAUGAGAUUCAUCAAUUUAGGACAGCCUACAUAAAGUUAUAACAUUCUUCUUAUAUAAUUCAAUAGCCCAAGCAAACUACACAAGAAUUCAAUAUGAUAGAGACAUGAUCAAAUCACCCAUAAUAUAGCAAAAAUAAGGAUUUCAUGAUUUGCAUGGGUUCAUAAGGAAUUUGGUCCAAAAUCAAUAAAUUAACAUCAAUUAUAUCAAAAACAUUGUUUCAACUAAUUUUAUGCAAGAAUCCAUGGCUAGAUGUUAUUAUAAAAGAUUUCAUGUUUUUGAUCAUCUUUAAAAACCAUUUGAAAUUGACUACUUGAAUGGAACAAAAGACAAGGAUGAAACACCAUAGCUUAUGUGAAGAAAAGCCCACUAAUUUAUGGAGAAAAACGUGGAAAACCAGUCUUUGUCCUUGGAGCUUAAAGCUUCAUCAAUGGAGGUUAUGGAGAGAAGGAAUGGAGAGGUUUUUUUUAGUUAAGAGUUUUGCAUAAUUGGUGAAUUUUUUGGGUUUAAAAAGACUCAAAUAAUCAAUAAGAAGUCCCCAAAGUAUCUAAAAGACCCCUACACAUAUAGGUCCAUUUAACCAAUUCUAAUUUGACUUAAAAAGGACGCGACCAAAUUUGGGAGGUCACUUAGCGUCGCGAGAUCACCAAUUAUUCUUGGUUCUAGAAUAUUUUGAAGCAUAAUGGUUUAGGAUGGCCCUGCGUUGCAUUGCAGGUUGGGCAACGUGUAAGCGCUACCAAUUCUUGGCUGCUCGGCAACUACAUUACCCUUUUGAUGGUCCUUGGAGCGUCAUUCUCGGACGGAUCGACCUUUUACAUGUCAUUAUAUAUGUUGUAAUCAUAAAUAAUCAAUUUCACCCUCAUACCAUACCCCCAAACUCCACUACAAAACACUACGACACACUAGUUCAAUUUCGACUAGUUUCGGGAUGUCUUGGACGUUUCACUUCCAAACUCCUCAAACUCACUUCUAAAACUAUUAUUAGGAAUUUUAGGACUUUAUAAACUCAUGACGCAUGUUUUAGGAUCUAUAUUCACCUAAGUCAUUUUAGGGGCAUUACAAUAGAUUACUCUUAUGUUACUACACAUGAUUCAUUUUUUGCAACAUGUGACAGAAAUAUUGCUAAAGAUGCCCAUAUGUGUCAACUUAUAACACAUAUAUAGCAAUAUAUUACACAUAUAUUUCAACAUAUCACCCAUCUGUAGCGGCAUAUGGAACAUUCGUGGCAACAUGUGACAUAAGUGAUGCUACAGAUAUGCAUAUCUAUCAACUUAUCACAUAUAUGUAGAAACAUAAGACACAUAUGUGGCAACAUAUAACCCAUCUAUAGUUGCAUAUGACAUAUUUGUAGCAACAUAUGACCCAAAUAUUUGUACGGAUGACUCAUAUUUAUAAUUUUAGGUUGUGCAUCCAUCGCUUGUCACAACAGAAAACAAAUUUUAAAUGUCAUAUCUAGUUACUCUAGGGUUGGUUGAAACCUUAUUUGAUCUUGUUUUGGAUACAGUUAAAAUGGAAUUGGCUAGAUCAACAACCAUCAAAAGAGCCAGAGUUGAUAAUGAAUUAGUUGUUUUUGAUGGUAUUGAUGUUGGUGUUGGUGUUGUUGCUGGCGCUGGUGUUGGUUCUAGUGCUGGUGCCGGUGACAGAAAGAUGAAGGGGCUACGUCUUGUAGAUAAUGAAUUAGUUGUGCUUUUCUCUAUGAGAAGUGCAAGAAACGAGAUGAAGCUUCUUCAUGUAUCUUCAAACAUUGAGUCAAGUCGAAAAUAAAUUUAAAAACAAGAGGGGGUCAAGGGCAUUUUAUCAAAGAAUGUUUGGCAUCCAUAAACUCCAAAGGCUAAGACGAGGAAAAAAUCCUUUGACUAGGCAAUACAAAAUCUUGUUUGGAGAAUUGUAAUGUGUUCUAUAAAUUCUAAAAUUAUGAAAUCUUCUAUUAAGUGUUAAAUGAUGUUUCUUAUGUCAUUUUAUUUCUUAAAUCAUAAAUAUUUUACUUAAGUCGCAUGAAAUGUUCUUUUACUAAAAUGUCCUUUUUACAUAUUUUUGCAUAUGCCAUACUUUGUACAUUGUUUUGCACUAACCCCAUACUUUUCUAUACCAUCUAAGUAUAGGUUGGAAGCAAGGUUGAAGGCUAGAAGGUGAAGCUUGGGAAAGUUUCUCUCAAGGCAAAGUAUGUCCUCAUGUAUUCGAGGGCAUAGUCCUUUUCUUAGUUUCUUAAUUAAAGACUUAUUAUGUAUUUCUUUUUAAUGUAAAGUGUCAUGUCCCUAAGAUAUUAUGUCGUGUCUUUAGGUUGGCUUGUGACGAUGAGAUUUAUGAAAGACUAGUUUUUAUUAAAUGUUAUGAAAAGUUUUAAUUCCGCACUACUUUUCACGUCUUAUGUAAUGAACGAUAGUUAAUGGCUUUUAAAAGACCCCAAAGGGUCAAGUACACCUUGACACGAACCGAGGGUUCUCCCUAACUUUUAGGGGUACUUUCGGAUCGUGACAAAUUGUAGCGACAUAUAUGACAUAUGUAGCAACAUAUGUAUCUUAUGUAUCAACAUAUGCCUCAAAAUUGUCAAACAUUACUACAUAAGGGUCAUCUGUAGCAACAUAUGCAACGUAUGUAGCAACAUAUGGAUCAUAUGCACCAAUAUAUGCCUCUAAUGGUCAAACGUUUCGACAUAAGGGUCAUAUGUAGCAGCAUAUGAGGUAUCUGUGGCAACAUAUGUAGCAACAUAUGCCUCAAAUGGUCAAAUAUUUCAACAUAAGGGUCAUCUGCAUCGACAUAUGUGAUAUAUGUCGCAACACAUGGAUCAUAUGUAGUAACAUAUGCAAAACAACGUUUAUUUACUUAAACAAAACUAUGAUAAGAAAAAGUAAAUGUUGGAGCAGGAAUCCAACUACGCUUAUUUAUUUUCACAACAAUAAUAAUUUUAAUUGUUGUACACAAAUACAUAAGAAUUUUUUCGUCCUCCACAGUAUUUUUUUUGUAAUGCUUCAUAAUACUUAAAAAAAAUAAACAACACCAAGAUUAGAUUCUACAUGCUACAACAUUUUGUCUUAUUCUUCUCCUUCAUCCCCCAUCUAAUACUUCUUUUAAUAUGACUUUCAUCAUCUGUUUCCAACUUCAUAACUCAGUUCAUCAAUCAGAGAAUAACAAACUUGGAUCGUAUAUCAACAUCUUCACUAUCUCUCCAUCUAAAAAACUUGCAUGUGUUCUCCUAAAAUACACACCAUAAAGAAAGAAAUUUAAAUUAAAAAACAAAAUAAAGAGAUCUUAGUUUUCCAAAGACUAAGAUGUAGAUAUGUACAUACAUGAUCCCGU